GUUAAUCCACACGGGAACAAAACCCACAUGGCUGGCGACAUUUUGAAUUGCGCAGGCCCAUAGCUGAUUUUAAGACAGCGCUGGUCGACCGAGUAUGGCGGUAGAAUCCAGGCGAGCAACGCCCUGUCUGACUCCGUGAGCUUAUGGAGUCGGCAAAUCGGGCCUUCGACCAGAGACAGGUUGAAUGCUAGUCGUUGGGCCGAGAGGGUGCGCUGUUCAAAGCAGACGAUAAUGACGAAAAUAGAUGACAAUAGAUGGCGCUCUCCAUAAUAACACAUUUUGCUGACAAGGUGGACGCACGCUGCAUUGCCGAAAAUGAGGACGAUGUUACACUGCCGCGGAACAGGGACUUUUUUGAGACUAGGGCAGUGUCAAGAUUUCAAGAGGACCCAAGGAGGCAAAGGAAGUCUGACGAAAACUCAAGGUAGCAUUCAGGAUUUCAAACCUUCAAGGUUUCCAGACGUAAGUUGAAGAUUUUUAAAGAAUUAGGAUUUCGAAGGAAUAUUCAACUUCCAAGUCAAAUCAACAUGAUCAAGACGUAUUUUACAGGCAGAUUUCAACUUGAAGUUUUCAGAUUUGGAGAUUGUAAAGUAUAAUAAGGAAUGCUCCGGAAGUUUCAAGAUUUCAAGGGGACUCAGAAAGACAGGAAUUACCA